rnacentral:lncRNA from 1 species
GUUGUACUCCAGGCUAGUAGGUGGCGGUAAUGCAACAAAUUGGAUGCCAACCGCCGUUAAACCGCAGAAGAAGAAGCACAUUGUUGGGAACGUCAUUAGACGGAAAAGGAAGAACGUCAUUAUACGGAAGAGGAAGGAAAGUGUGUUUGAAACUAAAAUCGCUAGUAACAACCAGCAUCAAACGUAACAUUGCUUGUCAAAUGGAUAUCAUUUCUCGUUAUGGUUUGUAGUUAUGCUGGCUUUGCUUCUGCUGUCUUUCUACAACAUCCGAAGAUCCUCAGAAAGUUAUACGGCUGCACCAUCGAG